rnacentral:rRNA from 1 species
GGAGGAUCCAAGCGUUAUCCGGAUUUAUUGGGUUUAAAGGGUGCGUAGGCGGCCUGUUAAGUCAGGGGUGAAAGACGGUAGCUCAACUAUCGCAGUGCCCUUGAUACUGAUGGGCUUGAAUAGACUAGAGGUAGGCGGAAUGUGACAAGUAGCGGUGAAAUGCAUAGAUAUGUCACAGAACACCGAUUGCGAAGGCAGCUUACUAUGGUGUCAUUGACGCUGAGGCACGAAAGCGUGGGGAUCAAACAGGAUUAGAUACCCUGGUAGUCCACGCCCUAAACGAUGAAUACUCGCUGUUGGCGAUACACAGUCAGCGGCUAAGCGAAAGCGUUAAGUAUUCCACCUGGGGAGUACGCCCGCAAGAGUG